GGACUUCCUGGAAUCACUAAGAGGAGGGACGUGUCACAGAGAAGGUGCCUGGCUUUCUACAGGUUUUAAACCAAACUGAAAACCCCUCCGUCUCUAGCUUCAUGUCUGCCAGUUAAAAGAAGAAAUAACAACAGGAGAAGAUGAUCUGCAGGAUCCUGCUGCUCAUCAUCCUCACCUCAUGUGUCUCUGGAUCAUUUGUAGUCAAUGUGACACAGACCUCCUAUCAGGCAGAGGAGAACCACCUCUGCAGCUCACACCUCACUGAUGGCUGAACAACUACAAACCAACACAAACAUUUAAUCAGCUACAACCACUGCAAUAGAAGCAACCAUAAAGAAAACCCCACACUUUAAUUUACUCUGAACAUAUUUCACGUUUUAAAAAGUUCACAGGUGAAGAAAUGUUCUAUUUUUGUCACAUGGUGGUGCCAUGUUUCAAAUGAUAAGCAAAAGAGAACUCUGAAAUUAUUUCUUCCAUUGUAGACUCAUUAGACUAUUUUUUUAGGCUUGU